rnacentral:tRNA from 1 species
AGCGGGGUAGGAUAGCCAGGAGAUUCCGCCGGGCUCAUAACCCGGAGAUCAGUGGUUCAAAUCCACUCCCCGCUA